CUAACAAAUUAAAGUGAUUAUAUAUUCCAGUAUAUAGUUUGCUUGGACAUUAGCAUAAAUUCUUUUAAUAUUACGAAGACAGGUUUUAUUAUUAUUAUUUUUUUUUUGGUGAACUCAGUAUCAGCAUACAAUAUUAAUAAAUAUCAUCUGAUUUACUCAGAGGCAGAAAAUGCUUACAUGCUCUAUUGGACAUAGAUCAGUGAACAGAAGCAAGCCCAGCUUCUUUUCUGAUUACUCGAGCCAUAUUUGACCAGCUUUCUGUUUUGUUUUAUGACAUCCUAAGGCAUCUGCCAGAAGGGCUUCUGUGUAUGACAGAUAGCAGAAGUGAAAAAACAAAAACCUAAAACCUAAAAAUGACCACAUUUUUUCCACUUAGUUUCUCAUAUUCAAUUAUGCUCACGUUGCAAGUUAAUUUCAAAUUAACAUUUUACAUUGUUAUUAGUGCCUUGCAUUAUGUAUUUAUGUCUGCAUUUACUUUUAGUUAGUUGUAUUUUUUUCUUAUUUUUUCUUAUUUCCUUUUCAUGUGUUUUACUCUGUGAUAACAAUGGCCUUAUUCUUUCCUGUCAAAUCUACAGUUACUGCUGGGAAUGUAGUUCCAGUCAUGUUGGCACUUGUUACAGUGUUAUGCUGGUCUUUGAUUUGCUGGCUAAUGUGCUGAAGAAUCAUCUGCCACAACUGCACGGUUUUCAGUAUUUUAUUCAACUUCUGUACUUAAGUUUUAGUGGUCAAAGUGGUCUCAUUUAACUGCAUUGAUAUGUCUUCAUGACACAAAGUAGGUACAUCUGUUGCUAAUUUGACAUCAAAUAAUUUACAUGCCAGGAGGAGGCAAGCACAUUUCUCAUUGUAAGAGUGUGUACAACAGGUUUGCAAUUUCUGUAAAUCACACAGUACUUAACUGUAAUAUAAACCGUAUUUUCCUGUAAUUCAUAUUUAUACAGUAUGUCACUGUAUUUUAAAGUUGCACUAUUUUUCAGCACACAUAAAAACUACAACUGCAUAAGUGUGAUUUAUACUCUUUUCG
ensembl:lncRNA